UAGAGCUUGCUGGGAAACCAGGAGGCCCGCGGGUGGGCGGAGGCCGCGAGGGUCGCGGCAGGCCCCGCCCAUCCCUCAGUCGCAGCGCGUCUUGGAGGCCCCCGGGGAGAGCUAGGGGAGAGUCGCUAAGUGCGGUUCCGGCUGUCGCAAACUCAGAAAUAGCCUUUCAGCUGUUUGCUGCCAAAGUGGCCUUUCAUUCAUUGGGUAGAUUCUCCCAGCCUGUAUGAUCAUACUUAGAGCCUGAAGUGCUGAAGUGCAGGUGUUCAAGAAGUUCUGCGUUUGAUCGUGAAGUGCCUAAUUAAGCAGCAGAGGCGGAAGGGAAAUGAAGGCUUCACCCCAGGCGGGGCUUGUAAACCAAUACGGAAAGGAGAGGCUUAAUGGAGUCUGAAAACCGUGGAAGAGUUUGACCAGUUAAAUGGGCUGGCUGGAGUAUCGGUGAUUUAGUUUAUUACUUAAGCUUGCACUUCUUUAAUCCUCCCUAGAAGGUGUAAGAUAUGGGGCGCCUGGGUGGCUCAGUUGGUG